rnacentral:rRNA from 1 species
UACAGGGGGUGCAAACGUUGCUCGGAAUUAUUGGGCGUAAAGCGCACGUAGGCGGCGCAGCAAGUCAGGGGUGAAAUCCCGGGGCUCAACCCCGGAACUGCCCUUGAAACUGCAGUGCUAGAAUCUUGGAGAGGCGAGUGGAAUUCCGAGUGUAGAGGUGAAAUUCGUAGAUAUUCGGAAGAACACCAGUGGCGAAGGCGACUCGCUGGACAAGUAUUGACGCUGAGGUGCGAAAGCGUGGGGAGCAAACAGGG